rnacentral:lncRNA from 1 species
ACCCUAUGAAAGCGCUUAUAUAUGGUGAAAUAAAGGAAGGGAUAAUGCUUUGUUUGACUCCAUUGCAGACAUGCCAACAGAGUACAGUCCUCACUGAUUGGAUUGGAUCCUGUAUCUGGUUCAGCCCAAUAAGAAAAAAUUAUGUCUCUCUCAAAGGGCAAAACAUAGUAAACGUGAGCAUCUUGUAAAAUGUUUUCCAAGGCCCCCCCACAACAAAUGACUGCAUGAAGAACAAUAAGCAUGUGCAGAUUUGGUAUGACAUUUAGAUAUCCCACUGCUCACUGGUCAGUGCAGCAGUCCCUAUUAAAGUUUGCAUCAGCAAUUCAACCCAAACCAGUCCAAACACCCACCAAUUAAGAUUCUGCUUUUCAAUUAGACAAGGAACCCAAGAUUCCAAUUCAACCCACUUCUCCUUGUUGCUUUCCUUGGUCAAGCUCAAGAAUUGACACCAUAUUGUUUCAUCAUGUCACGCACUUUCUCUGUUUUUUUUUUUUUUGGUAACUCUUGUUGUCUCGCACUUUCUCUUUAUUGGUCCUUUUCAUGACAACCUGUUUUCUGUUGCCAUAACAAUGGGCCUUUGUAUUUCUUGCUUAGCCCAAGUUUGCUAAAUCUGGUUUUUCUGGGUCAAUUUUAGCCCAAAUCAUAAAGAAUAAGACAUUAUAAGCUUCUUCUUGCUGUUGGGCUAUGAAUUUAAUUCUUUGUUCUUGGUUGAGCCUGGCUUAUGUAUACUUCACAUGGAAACCUACAAUUAAAACAAGUAUAAAUUAUAAACUCCAUACGUAUAAUCAUGGUUAAUUUUUUACUUUAUAUUUAUGGAAUUAUAGUUAUGCAUAUGGACACAUGUUAAGUGUUGAGAAUAAUGAUAAGAAUACACCUUGGGUUAAAGUGGUG